UACGAAGGGUGCAAGCGUUACUCGGAAUUACUGGGCGUAAAGCGUGCGUAGGUGGUUUGUUAAGUCUGAUGUGAAAGCCCUGGGCUCAACCUGGGAAUUGCAUUGGAAACUAACGGGCUCGAGUGUGGCAGAGGGGGGUGGAAUUCCACGUGUAGCAGUGAAAUGACGUAGAGAUGUGGAGGAACACCGAUGGCGAAGGCAGCCCCCUGGGCUAACACCUGGACGCUCAGGCACGAAAGCGUGGGGAGCAAAC
rnacentral:rRNA from 1 species